UACGUAGGGUGCGAGCGUUAAUCGGAAUUACUGGGCGUAAAGCGUGCGCAGGCGGUUCGUUAAGUCAGCUGUGAAAGCCCCGGGCUCAACCUGGGAACUGCGGUUGAAACUGGCGAACUAGAAUCUGGCAGAGGGGGGUGGAAUUCCACGUGUAGCAGUGAAAUGCGUAGAGAUGCGGAGGAACACCGAUGGCGAAGGCAGCCCCCUGGGCCAACACUGACGCUCAGGCACGAAAGCGUGGGGAGCAAACAGG
rnacentral:rRNA from 1 species